CAGACCCUCAGUAAAGACAUUAACAGGAUUGCCCAGAAGAAACUUGGAGGGAAGAAAGAAUAGGUGAAUUUCGCAGGACAUGUGUGGUUGAACAAUUGAGCCAACAAAUGUAUAGCAUAAUUAGACACCCAUGCUUCAGGAUAUGUGUCAAAUUAAAGGGUGUACCCUGCCCCUUGCCCAAAGACCGCUGGACAUAGGCACGGAUGGAUACAUGGAUUUAAUUGAGAGAGCACACAGUAGAACUGUUAUGGCACAAUGCUGGCAGUGGAUCAAGUCAUUCGUAAAUAGAAAAUGUUAAACUUCCAACUGGAAACAAUUAAAGAGUAC